CGKGGGSSGGCCUWMMMAUGCAGUCGAGCGAAGGGAGUACUACGGUACGAACUUAGCGGCGGACGGGUGAGUAACGCGUGGACAAUCUACCCUGUAGACUGGGAUAACACCUCGAAAGGGGUGCUAAUACCGGAUAAUGUCGAGAAGCGGCAUCGCUUUUCGAAGAAAGGAGRGAAUCCGCUAUAGGAGGAGUCCGCGUCCCAUUAGCUAGUUGGUGAGGGUAACGGCCCACCAAGGCGACGAUGGGUAGCCGGCCUGAGAGGGUGAACGGCCACACUGGAACUGAGACACGGUCCAGACUCCUACGGGAGGCAGCAGUGGGGAAUAUUGUGCAAUGGGGGAAACCCUGACACAGCGACGCCGCGUGAGUGAAGAAGGCCUUCGGGUCGUAAAGCUCAAUAGUAUGGGAAGAAAGAAAUGACGGUACCAUACGAAAGCCCCGGCUAACUACGUGCCAGCAGCCGCGGUAAWUACKU
rnacentral:rRNA from 1 species